rnacentral:rRNA from 1 species
UACGUAGGGUGCAAGCGUUAAUCGGAAUUACUGGGCGUAAAGCGUGCGCAGGCGGUGAUGUAAGACAGAUGUGAAAUCCCCGGGCUCAACUUGGGAACUGCAUUUGUGACUGCAUUGCUGGAGUGCGGCAGAGGGGGAUGGAAUUCCGCGUGUAGCAGUGAAAUGCGUAGAUAUGCGGAGGAACACCGAUGGCGAAGGCAAUCCCCUGGGCCUGCACUGACGCUCAUGCACGAAAGCGUGGGGAGCAAACAGG